UGACUGGGGCGGUCGCCUCCUAAAUCGUAACGGAGGCGCGCGAAGGUUGGCUCAGAGCGGUCGGAAAUCGCUCGUUGAGUGCAAUGGCAGAAGCCAGCCUGACUGCAAGACUGACAAGUCGAGCAGAGUCGAAAGACGGCCAUAGUGAUCCGGUGGUCCCAAGUGGGAGGGCCAUCGCUCAACGGAUAAAAGGUACGCCGGGGAUAACAGGCUGAUACUGCCCAAGAGUCCAUAUCGACGGCAGUGUUUGGCACCUCGAUGUCGGCUCAUCUCAUCCUGGGGCUGGAGCAGGUCCCAAGGGUAUGGCUGUUCGCCAUUUAAAGUGGUACGCGAGCUGGGUUUAGAACGUCGUGAGACAGUUCGGUCCCUAUCUGCCGUGGGUGUAGGAUACUUGAGAGGAGUUGCCCCUAGUACGAGAGGACCGGGGUGAACGUUCCACUGGUGGACCAGUUGUCGUGCCAACGGCAGUGCUGGGUAGCUAUGAACGGACAGGAUAACCGCUGAAGGCAUCUAAGCGGGAAGCCCCCCUCAAAACAAGGUAUCCCUG
rnacentral:rRNA from 1 species